rnacentral:rRNA from 1 species
AGUCAUAUGCUUGUCUCAAAGAUUAAGCCAUGCAUGUCUCAGUACAAGCCAAAUUAAGGUGAAACCGCGAAAGGCUCAUUAAAUCAGUUAUGGUUCCUUAGAUCGUACCCACACUUACUUGGAUAACUGUGGUAAUUCUAGAGCUAAUACAUGCAAACAGAGCUCUGACCGGAGACGGAAGGAGCGCUUUUAUUAGAUCAAAACCAAUCGGCGGCGGGCUUGCCCGUCGUCGUUCAACCUGGUGAAUCUGAAUAACUUUGUGCUGAUCGCACGGUCUAGCACCGGCGACGCAUCUUUCAAAUGUCUGCCUUAUCAACUGUCGAUGGUAGGUUCUGCGCCUACCAUGGUUGUAACGGGUAACGGGGAAUCAGGGUUCGAUUCCGGAGAGGGAGCCUGAGAAACGGCUACCACAUCCAAGGAAGGCAGCAGGCGCGCAAAUUACCCACUCCCGGCACGGGGAGGUAGUGACGAAAAAUAACGAUACGGGACUCAUCCGAGGCCCCGUAAUCGGAAUGAGUACACUCUAAAUCCUUUAACGAGGAUCAAUUGGAGGGCAAGUCUGGUGCCAGCAGCCGCGGUAAUUCCAGCUCCAAUAGCGUAU